UCCUGCAGGGCCCCGGGACAGCUGAGAAUCUGGUCCUGUCACUCCUGCCUCAGAUAACGGCGCUGGCUCCCUGGAUCCCCCCCUUUGCCCUUCUCGUCCCUCAGUCUGUCCACAGCUGUCUGGGUGACCUGACCUUCCUUGGUCUGUGACCUUCAACGGCAGGGCACAGAGAUGGACAGAUGAGACCCGACCCCCGACUUCACACACGGGGAGACAGCCUCAGAGAGGGGAGGCAGCAUGUCCAGGUCUCUGCUCAUCUUCCAGCAGGAAGAAAGAGGAAGAGAGAAAGUACAGAGGACGAACCGUGGGCCAGCCCUUCUCUGAAGGAAAACCAAGGCUUCUGCCGAUGCCUCACUCCCAGAUGGCUGUUUCACCACGAUGGGGCUCCUGUCCCCGUCCCCGAGGCUCCUUCCCAGACCAGGACUCUCCCGCUUCUGAUUUCUCAUCUUCUCUGCUGUCUCCUGGCGGCCUCUGCGCCCGUGGCCCUAUCAACCCAGCUCUGGCACCUCGAGGUCCGUGGCGCAGGUGACCCUACGACCACCCCACCGAUGGCCGUCCUUGCUGGCUAUGGAGGACGAGGGGAGGGCCACACUGGCCUUGGCCCCCAUGCUGAGAUGGCGCUGUGUCUGAAGGGCCUCCCGAGGGCACAGGCAAUGGGAGCAGUGACCUGGGGCCCUAGGCUCGUCCUCAAAGGGUCUCGUCUUGGCCCCACGGGUUUCUACUGAACGUCACCCGAGGGGGCAACAGACCCAUCUUCCUUGGAACUUUUAAACUAAGAGCCAGCCUUUCCUCCCGGGGCCUGGACAACAGUGUUUCCCUGUUCCCAUGUUCUCUUUGUCAUCUUUUCAAGCUUCCCCGGGACCCUCCUCUCCUGAUUCUCUCUCCUUCGCUGGGUUUCCCUCUGUCUUGCUCCCCCUGCAGCUUCUCUGAGAAUCACAGCAUCGUGCUAAUUUACUUCUAGAACAUUCUCUCCUGUGCCUGAGCUUAACGGGGACAGCACGCCCAUGCUGCCUCUGGCCUCUGUCCUCACCUCCCAUCCGAGACCUGCAGGCCACCAUGACAGCCCCCAAGCCCCGUCUCAGGCCCUGGGCAUGCACACUCCUUCCAGUCCCGGCUUUCUUUGAGAGUCCUCCAAAACCCACCGUCAACCACCAGGGGCUCUAACCUGUGUGCCGACAAUGUGAUGCUUGGAGGUGGUGCAGCCACUUUGCAGCCAGGAAGCCACGGGGAGGAAGAUGGUAGAACAGUAAGAGCAGAAAAGCCUGCGUCCCGGAUGGUGGCCUUGCCUCAGCACCAGUUCCACUCGUCUCUGGGCUUUUGUCAUGUGGACCAGAACCAUUCAUGCUGCUGUCAGCGUCUCCACGGCUUGCUGCCGCACACACCCCUACUGGGCACAGGCUUCAGAGCCUUUACGGGCGGGGAGGCCAGAGUUAGGAAAUAAAAACACGGGUGCUCAGUUAAAUUUGGAUUUC
rnacentral:lncRNA from 1 species